GUCGCUCCCUCGCGAGGUGCCGCGGGUCAGCGGCUGACGCCAGCCACCUUCCCGACCGGUCUUGAAACACGGACCAAGGAGUCUAACAUGUGCGCGAGCCGCGGGGCAGUACGAAACCCGUAAGGCGAAAUGAAGGUGAACGCCGGCGCGGUCCGGCGGAGGUUGGAUCCCGUCCCGUCGGGGCGGGCGCACUACCGGCCGAUCUUCUCCGCCCUGUCGGCGAGGUCGAGCGAGAGCGUGCAAGUCGGGACCCGAAAGAUGGUGAACUAUGCCUGAGGAGGUUGAAGCCAGAGGAAACUCUGGUGGAGGACCGUAGCGAUUCUGACGUGCAAAUCGAUCGUCAAAUUUGGGUAUAGGGGCGAAAGACUAAUCGAACCGUCUAGUAGCUGGUUCCCUUCGAAGUUUCCCUCAGGAUAGCUGGCGCUCUGUCGCAGUUUUAUCUGGUAAAGCGAAUGAUUAGAGGUCUUGGGGGCGAAACGCCCUCAACCUAUUCUCAAACUUUAAAUUGGUAAGAAGCCCGACUCGCUCGUUUGGAGCCGGGCAUGGAAUGCGAGUGCCAAGUGGGCCACUCUUGGUAAGCAGGACUGGCGAUGCGGGAUGAACCGAACGCCGGGUUAAGGCGCCCGACGCGACGCUCAUCAGAGCCCACAAAAGGUGUUGGUUGAUAUAGACAGCAGGACGGUGGCCAUGGAAGUCGGAAACCGCUAAGGAGUGUGUAACAACUCACCUGCCGAAUCAAUCAGCCCUGAAAAUGGAUGGCGCUGGAGCGUCGGGCCUAUACCCGGCCGUCGCGGCGGUACGAGCAUCGAG
rnacentral:ncRNA from 1 species